UACGUAGGGUGCGAGCGUUGUCCGGAAUUAUUGGGCGUAAAGGGCUCGUAGGCGGUUUGUCGCGUCGGGAGUGAAAAUCCAGGGCUUAACUCUGGACUGGCUUCCGAUACGGGCAGACUAGAGGUAUGCAGGGGAGAACGGAAUUCCUGGUGUAGCGGUGAAAUGCGCAGAUAUCAGGAGGAACACCGGUGGCGAAGGCGGUUCUCUGGGCCGUAACUGACGCUGAGGAGCGAAAGCGUGGGGAGCGAACAGG
rnacentral:rRNA from 1 species